GUAGUUUUUGAUAAAAAAUAUAACAAUAAUAAUAAUAAAAUCCACUUACUUUUCAACAAAUCCGCGUCGGGGUUUGUUCCGGAGUCGGUUUUUUUUUCGUACCGCAAUAAAAUUAUCGGUCCACAUAUUAUUACAGUUUCCGUUCGGCCGUUAAUGCACCUGCUAUUUUUUUUUAUUUAUUUUUUUUUUUUUUUAUCGCGCACCGUUUCGACGUUUUUUUCGUCGUGAACAACGGGUAAAUUUAUUAAUAUUGGAAACGAUAUUUUUCCGCCGCGGCCGUCACGAGGUCGCGGUUACCGGCCAUGUAAAACUGCAUUUUUUUUUUCCAACACGAAAGUCGAAUAAAAUAAAAAUUGCCGCGAAACACGUUAUUUUUUUUUUUCG